ACUGGUGCGAUGAUGAUGAUUAUUUACUGUGGACUAGAGUUUCUGAUCUGGCUCUUCUUCUACCAGUAGCUGAAGACUAACCCUUGGCUGUCUGAGCACCAUC